rnacentral:rRNA from 1 species
AGUUUGAUCCUGGCUCAGAUUGAACGCUGGCGGCAGGCCUAACACAUGCAAGUCGAGCGGCAGCGGGAAGAUAGUUUACUAUCUUUGCCGGCGAGCGGCGGACGGGUGAGUAAUGCCUAGGGAUCUGCCCAGUCGAGGGGGAUAACAGUUGGAAACGACUGCUAAUACCGCAUACGCCCUACGGGGGAAAGGAGGGGACCUUCGGGCCUUCCGCGAUUGGAUGAACCUAGGUGGGAUUAGCUAGUUGGUGAGGUAAUGGCUCACCAAGGCGACGAUCCCUAGCUGUUCUGAGAGGAUGAUCAGCCACACUGGGACUGAGACACGGCCCAGACUCCUACGGGAGGCAGCAGUGGGGAAUAUUGCACAAUGGGGGAAACCCUGAUGCAGCCAUGCCGCGUGUGUGAAGAAGGCCUUCGGGUUGUAAAGCACUUUCAGUAGGGAGGAAAGGUAAUAGUUUAAUACGCUAUUACUGUGACGUUACCUACAGAAGAAGGACCGGCUAACUCCGUGCCAGCAGCCGCGGUAAU